CUCCCCCAGGCACCAACCCCUCCAGGUCGCGGGCACUCCCACCAGCUCGCAGCCCUCCUUCGGACCCUCGACCCGACAGCGCCCCAGCCAGAGCUUGUGCCCAUGCCCCUGUCCCGCAGGGGAAGGGGAUCCCGCCUGGCCGGCUCUCGAGCGGCGACGAGUAGCCUCCCGCGGGCGACAGCCCUCUCCCCAAAGAGUGCUGGCCGUGGGGCCCUAUCGAUAAGCCACGCGCAACUCCUCACCCGGCGGCGCCAUUCCUCCGAGCAGGUCCCGCCGGAGUCCGAGCCGCAGGCUGACUUCCGCUCGGGAAAGUGGCUCCAAGAGCCCGCCACAGGGGACGCCAGGGACUCGCGGCAGGCUCUGCGGGCCAGGAUGAGUUCUAAGCACAGGAUCUGUAGUCAGGAAGAAGUAGUGAUCCCUUAUGCCUAUGACAAUGAUUCAGGAAGUGUGGAUUUGGAGCUGAGCAACUUAGAGACUAUUAAAAAAGGCUCCAGUAGCAUUGAACUGACAGACUUGGACAUCCCUGACAUCCCUGGACUCCAUUGUGAGCCCCUGUCAGAUAGCCCCAGACACCUGACCCGACAGGACCCGCUCAAUGAGGCCAUUGUUGACAAGCUGAUCCAGUCCAUCCAGAGGGGUUUCAGUGGUGAGCUAAAGGGUGAACUUGAAAAGCUGACAUUCCUAGGAUCUCUGUCUUCUCUCAGCCGAGCUUUACCUUAUGAUGAAACCACAGAAUCAUUCAUUCACAGCCAUAUAGCAGACAUUGUGCAUACCUUAAAUGUACUGGUACAAGAGGAGCGCCCGCAUUCUCUGUCCAGUCUCGUGCGCCAGGAGGUCUUUGUCACCAUCGCUGAUCUCAGUUACCAAGAUGUCCAUUUGCUGUUUGGCUCUGAAGAUCGAGCUGAGUUGUUCAGUCUUGUCAUCAAGAGUAUAAUCACUCUGCCCUCUGUAAGGACUCUCACCCAGAUACAGGAAAUCAUGCCCAAUGGGACCUGCAACACAGAGUGUCUUUACAGGCAGACAUUUCAGGCGUUCUCUGAGAUGCUCCAGAGUUUGGUGGUAAAAGACCCAUAUUUGGAAAAUCUUGACACCAUUAUUAAGCACUUGGACCCCUGGUUACAGUCAGUCAAAGACCAUGAGCGGGAACGGGCCACGGCCAGUAUGACUCAGGUUCUGAAGUGCUUAUCCAGACAUCUCAGCUUGAAGCUUCCACUGCGAUUCCAAAGACUUGGGCACCUAGUGGCUCUGAUGGCACUGCUCUGUGGGGACCCACAGGAAAAUGUGGCUGAGGAGGCUGCAGAGAGCAUUCACUACCUGCUGCAUAUCACCCUGAGGCUGAAGUAUAUCAUACAUGACAAGAAAAAUCAGCAAAACUUAAAAAGAGCAUUGACAAAAUGUCGAGAAUUCCUGGAGCUCUACAGCUCGGCCGCUAAAUGCUUCUACAGCUGUCCCUUCAGAAUUGCGCAGGUCUUUGAAGGUUUUCUCGAUUCAAAUGAGCUCUGCCAGUUUAUAAUGACUACAUUUGAUACCCUGAAAAACCUGAAUCAUCCCUGCAUCCAGCGAUCAGCAGGAGAAUUACUGCUAACUUUGGCGAAAAAUGCAGAAUCCCGAUUUGAGAAGGUGCCAGAAAUUAUGGGAGUUAUCUGUGCCCAGUUAUCCAUAAUCAGCCAGCCUAGAGUCCGCCAACAAAUCAUAAAUACCGUGAGUUUAUUUAUAUCCAGACCCAAGUAUACAGAUAUAGUGCUCAGCUUCCUUCUGUGUCAUCCAGUGCCAUAUAACAGGCACCUGGCUGAGGUGUGGAGAAUGCUGGCAGUGGAGCUUCCUAACACGACCUGGAUUCUGUGGAGGCUCCUGAGGAAGCUGCAGAAAUGCCAUAAUGAGCCCGCGCAGGAGAAGAUGGCAUAUGUGGCUGUGGCUGCAACAGAUGCCCUUUAUGAGGUGUUUUUGGGAAACAGGCUUCGAGCAGCUACAUUCCGACUCUUUCCUCAGCUUCUCAUGACACUGCUCAUCCAGAUUCAUCAUAGCAUCGGCCUCACCAUGUCUGAUGUCGACAUCCCAAGUGGCCUGUACACAGAACAGGAAGUGUCUUCAGAGGUCACCCCUUUGUGCUUUGCCAUGCAGGCUACAAAGACUCUCCUCCUCAGAACAUGCUGCUUGCAGGAAUUCAACAUCAUGGAAAAGAAUAAAGGAUGGGCUCUCCUGGGAGGAAAAGAUUGCCAUCUUCAGGGAGUAUUUCUCCUUGCCAACGCAUUGCUGGAAAGAAAUCGGCUCCUUGCACAGAAGGUCAUGUACUUAUUAGUGCCUUUUCUUAACCGAGGGAAUGAUAAACAUAAACUCACAUCUGCAGGGUUUUUUGUGGAGCUUCUCCGGAGUCCAGUGGCCAAGAGACUGCCCAGCAUAUACUCUGUUGCCCGCUUUAAAGACUGGCUACAAGAUGGAAAUCAUCUCUUUAGAAUUCUCGGCCUGAGGGGACUGUAUAAUCUUGUUGGACACCAGGAGAUGAGAGAAGACAUCAAGAGCCUGUUGCCGUACAUCGUAGACAGCUUGCGUGAAACCGAUAAGAAGAUCGUUCUGUCAGCCAUCCAGAUACUCCUGCAACUUGUUAGAACAAUGGAUUUCACUACCCUGGCUGCCAUGAUGAGGACUCUGUUCUCCUUAUUUGGUGAUGUGAGACCUGAUGUUCAUCGUUUCUCCAUGACUCUCUUUGGAGCCGCCAUAAAGUCUGUAAAAAACCCAGAUAAGAAGAGUGUAGAGAAACAAGUCCUGGACAGCUUGGUCCCACUACUUUUGUAUUCUCAGGAUGAAAAUGAUUCAGUAGCUGAGGAGAGCAGGCGAGUCCUAACUAUAUGUGCCCAGUUCCUGAAGUGGAAGCUGCCCCAAGAAGUGUACUCUAAAGAUCCCUGGCACAUCAAACCUACUGAAGCAGGAACAAUCUGCAGAUUCUUUGAAAAAAAGUGCAAGGGGAAAAUUAACAUCCUAGAACAAACACUGAUAUACUCCAAGAAUCCAAAACUUUCCGUCAGAAGAUCAGCAGUCUUGUUUGUAGGCCUUUUAUCGAAGUACAUGGAUCACAAUGAGCUCAGGAGGAUGGGUACUGACCGGAUAGAGGAUGAUCUCAGGGGCUUUUACCUCCAACCUGUGUUUGCCUGCCGCUAGAUCUGAGAGACCUGCUGUGUGACCCUGAGCCCUCGCUGUGCAUCAUCACCUCCCAGACUCUGUUACUAGUCCAGAUGGCAAGCGCCGAACCAAAACCUAAGCAGAGAGUGAACUGGUUGCAGAAGCUCAUGGGCAGGUCCUCUGCCUAGAAACACAAGGCAAGCAACAUCAGGACAGAAUCUUGCUAUGUUGUGCAGGUAGGCUAGUCUUGAACUCAUGGCCUCAAGUCAUCCUCCUGUGUCAGCCUCCCAAAAUGCUGAGAUUACAAGCAUGUACCACCGCACCCAGCAGAAUUCCAGUCUUGAGAAGCAGGUCAAGGACAGCUUGAAAAGAGAUUCUAAAUAAAUGUUAAUGUUACAAUGUUA